UGCAUUGUGUUUUUGGGAGAUUAAGUUUGGACAUAUAUAAAAAUAUUUAAAAAGAAAAAAAAUUAGGGCUUCAUCAUUUUUUUACACAUCUAACCCUAUGUUUUUGCAUUGUGUUUCAUGAGCUUACAAUAAUAUGGUAUAGCUAAGUUAUGAUACGUAAAAACUACUCUUGAAUGACCCUUUAAGGAUGUGAAAAGACAUAAUAGACAUUAACCAAAUUUCGUGUUGUUUCGUAACUUUUGUGUUCAGUAUGGUACAUUAGUAUGCGUGUGAGUUUUACAGUCUCAGGAAAUCUUUUUGUGGUGCAUUAUUAUUACUGUCAAAUGUUGAAUAUUUUGAGUUUUUUUUAUAUUGUGGCAGGGGUUAAUUUAAAAAUUUCGAAUUUUCGGAACAAAAUAAAUAAAUGAACUUGGGAAGAGUUCAUUUAUUAUUUUUUGCAAUAAAAUAAACAUACUAGACUUAUUAAUAAAUUUAUAAAAAGAAUGGCACUUGCCACCUAUACUACUCAGUAAAUAAACUUAUAGACAAAUUUUCCUCCUCUAAAAGGAAUAGACCUAUUUCAAUAUCCAUUUCCAUUCCGCAAAAUACAUAGCCGGAAUAGACAUACUAACAUAAAAACGAGGUUAGUUUAGAGACAAUUUUAAUUUUCAAGCGAACAUCACACAUAUAGUCUGUUUACCUUUAUUAUUUCUCAAAUUAACUUGUCAAAUGGUCAAAUUAUAAACUUUUAGUAAAAAAUAGAACAUGGCACUUAUUUUAUACCCCUUGGGCUUAUUAAAAUUACUGGUUUAUAUUUUUUUCUAGUGUUUACCUAGCUAGCUAUUGUUUUUCUUAUGACUGUGGUUUGGAUUUUUUGAAAAAUCUGUAAAUAACGUUAUUACUUGGCUAUCCCUUUCCUCCAAAGUCUAUUCUAAGCAUGUUGGGUAUUAGACUAAAUAUUGGGCAAUACAAUAACCCAAGAUAGUACUUAUAAGUAUCCUUGAGCUUUGAUUAUUUAAAAAUCAUGGUCUGUGAGAAUGUUACGGUUGCAGCUACAGGUCAUCUAGCUACACCUCGGAAGGCUGGAAGUUUAAUGUAUAGACAAGAAUGUAAUCUAACUACGUGCAAGACGUGAUUAAACAAACAAAUUAAACCCUAUAUGAUGUUGCCAUUAUUAUUUUGUAAAUUUUUAGAUUUUUAGAUUGGAUUCAAAAUCACAUUUUUUAUUUACAAAAAGUGGAAGUUAAUUUUAAAUGUUUUGUAUUGUUAGAUUGCUUUCAGAAAUGUUCAAAAUCCACGCAAUUAAAAUUUCCAAAAGAUAUAUUUUGUUUUAUUGCACCCGUUUUCGUCUGAUUUGUUCUUGCGUUGUUUUAGUGCCUACACAACUUCCGAAUUAAGUCCUACUUUGUUCUCACUCAUGAAACUUUACGGUAGUGUAAAAAGAAGUGCAAAAAAAUUCAGAUUCUGGUUUGUCCUUUUUUUCUAACAAAAUUCUGACUUAGGUUGUUAGUUGUAAAAACA